AUUGAACGCUGGCGGCAGGCCUAACACAUGCAAGUCGAGCGGAUGAAGGGAGCUUGCUCCUGGAUUCAGCGGCGGACGGGUGAGUAAUGCCUAGGAAUCUGCCUGGUAGUGGGGGAUAACGUCCGGAAACGGGCGCUAAUACCGCAUACGUCCUGAGGGAGAAAGUGGGGGAUCUUCGGACCUCACGCUAUCAGAUGAGCCUAGGUCGGAUUAGCUAGUUGGUGGGGUAAAGGCCUACCAAGGCGACGAUCCGUAACUGGUCUGAGAGGAUGAUCAGUCAAACUGAAACGAGGACCCGUCCAGAAUUCUAAGGGAGGGAGCAGGUGGGAAUUUUGGAAAAAGGGGGAAAGGCCUGUUCAGGCCAGGCGCGGGGGUUGAGGAGGGCCUCGGAUUUGAAAGCCACUUUAGGUGGGAAGAAGGGGAGGAAGUUAAUACCUUGCUGUUUUGACGUUACCAACAGAAUAAGCACCGGCUAACUUCGU
rnacentral:rRNA from 1 species